ensembl:lncRNA
UUGAGACGUGCAGCACAGCCACCUUGAAACUUUGAUGAAGGAUCAGAACGAUACAGACAACACAUCCUAAAAGACAAGACCAGAAAAACCAUUUUAAACCAGUUGCAGGACAAGCUGGCCAUCACUGGUGUCAUCACUGUUUUACAGUAAAUAUAUUUAAAAACUGAAAUCAGGAGUUGACAUAUUAAUACACAAAGUGGAAAUCAAAGCUUUCUCUGAACAAGUUUCAGAUUGCACCCUUUGGAUUGCUGAAAAAAAAAAAAAUCAGAAUGAGGAUUAUUCUUGUGUUACAGGAAUUGGCACCAUAUACAGAUCUUGUGAACCAGAAUACAGACUUUAAGAGACAGAAGCAGCCAAAAGUCAAGUCACCUUUAUUUAUAUAGCACUUCCUACAAUACUGAUUGUUUCAAAACAGCUUUACUGUGUUAAAACAGAAAACUGUGUCAAUAAUGCAAGAGGUCAAUAGUAAUCAGGAAGCAACAUCAAAUCCUCCCUCAAAAACAUCUAAAAAACGAGAUCUUCUAAAGGAAGUACAUAAAUUUCUGUCUGAAUCUGAAGUUUUCAGCUCUUUUCCAUUGAGCCUUUUGUUACUUGGAUUGGAGGAGUUGAUUGAAAAGGAAUUUUUUAUAUGCCCGUGUCGAUCUGAUCUGAAUAAACUGGUAACAUUGUUAAUUUUAAUUGGACCUGCACUUUUUAUGUUUGCUUUAAUGUAUCUCCUUUUAAGACCUUUUAGACGUAGGUGUUGCUGUGCGAGUAAGUGUAUCGAGAAGAACGAGAAGAACAAGAAUGAAAAGAACUGUUUCAAUGCUUUUUUAUCUUGUCUGAUUCCACCUGUAAUGUGGAUCAUCUUAUUUUUACUUGAUGGUGAUUAUGUUGCUUGUGGAAUGACAGACUGGAAUGGAGUUUAUAAGUUUAAUAAUCAGCUUAACCGGUGUUGGUGUAAACCUACUGAAGACACUCGAAAUGAAAUGGUUCUGCAAGAUCUGAUGCACAAAUAUAUUCAUUGGUCUCAGUUAUCAGGUUAUGUCAUGAUCUCUAUCGUCAGCGUACUGGUGAUUGUCUUCGUGGGUAUUUGUGACUGCUGCUGGAAACUGUUUUGCAAACCUCAAAAACAGAGUGAAGACACAGAGUCUGUAUAACUUAAUGCUUCAGGCAAUGUCCCCUCCACUCCAACUGUAAAUUAAAAAAAAAAAAAACACACACAUAUAUAUAUAUAUUUUUUUUGUGUGUUGUUGUUGUUUUUAGUUUUUUCUGGUUUUCUUAUGCGUCAUAAAAUAUAAAAAAUGUUAAACAUAAUUUUGCUAUUUCAGACUGUCAAGUUUAUGCACAUACUUUCUUUUAAGUGUUCUAAGAAAAACAAAACAUUCAAAACAUUUUUUUUCCCUUUCUCAUGAAAUGCAUGCAAGUGUCUCUGUCUUAGAUUUAGUUGAAAGGAUAUGUUGUAGAAGUUAACAGGACAUAUAUACAUUCAUAUAAUAUUUGUAACACGCAAAUUUAAUUCAUAUUUAUUUUACAAAUAUGUUACCUAAAUGCUUGCUGGUAACAAUAAAUAUAUAUUUAUGAGUGCCA